GAUGAACGCUUGCGGCGUGCCUAACACAUGCAAGUCGAGCGAAGCGCUUUACUUGAAUUCUUCGGAAGGAAAGUAUUGUGACUGAGCGGCGGACGGGUGAGUAACGCGUGGGUAACCUGCCUCAUACAGGGGGAUAACAGUUAGAAAUGACUGCUAAUACCGCAUAAGACCACAGCACCGCAUGGUGCGGGGGUAAAAACUCCGGUGGUAUGAGAUGGACCCGCGUCUGAUUAGCUAGUUGGUAAGGUAAGGGCUUACCAAGGCGACGAUCAGUAGCCGACCUGAGAGGGUGACCGGCCACAUUGGGACUGAGACACGGCCCAAACUCCUACGGGAGGCAGCAGUGGGGAAUAUUGCACAAUGGGGGAAACCCUGAUGCAGCGACGCCGCGUGAGUGAUGAAGUAUUUCGGUAUGUAAAGCUCUAUCAGCAGGGAAGAAAAUGACGGUACCUGACUAAGAAGCACCGGCUAAAUACGUGCCAGCAGCCGCGGUAAUACGUAUGGUGCAAGCGUUAUCCGGAUUUACUGGGUGUAAAGGGAGCGUAGACGGAGAGGCAAGUCUGAUGUGAAAACCCGGGGCUCAACCCCGGGACUGCAUUGGAAACUGUUUUUCUAGAGUGUCGGAGAGGCAAGUGGAAUUCCUAGUGUAGCGGUGAAAUGCGUAGAUAUUAGGAGGAACACCAGUGGCGAAGGCGGCUUGCUGGACGAUGACUGACGUUGAGGCUCGAAAGCGUGGGGAGCAAACAGGAUUAGAUACCCUGGUAGUCCACGCCGUAAACGAUGACUUCUAGGGGUCGGGUGGCAAACCCAUUUCGGUCCCGCAGCAAACGCAAUAAGUAGUCCCACUGGGGAGUACGUUCGCAAGAAUGAACCUCAAAGGAAUUGACGGGGACCCGCACAAAGCGGUGGAGCAUGUGGUUAAUUUCGAAGCAACGCGAAGAACCUUACCUGCUCUUGACAUCCCCCUGACCGUCCCUUAAUCGNGGCUUCCCUUCGGGACAGGGGAGACAGGUGGUGCAUGGUUGUCGUCAGCUCGUGCCGUGAGAUGUUGGGUUAAGUCCCGCAACGAGCGCAACCCCUAUCUUUAGUAGCCAGCGGCCAGGCCGGGCACUCUAGAGAGACUGCCAGGGAUAACCUGGAGGAAGGUGGGGAUGACGUCAAAUCAUCAUGCCCCUUAUGAGCAGGGCUACACACGUGCUACAAUGGCGUAAACAAAGGGAGGCAGAGCCGCGAGGCCGAGCAAAUCUCAAAAAUAACGUCUCAGUUCGGAUUGUAGUCUGCAACUCGACUACAUGAAGCUGGAAUCGCUAGUAAUCGCGAAUCAGAAUGUCGCGGUGAAUACGUUCCCGGGUCUUGCACACAGCGCCCGUCA
rnacentral:rRNA from 1 species